rnacentral:rRNA from 1 species
UACGUAGGGUGCGAGCGUUAAUCGGAAUUACUGGGCGUAAAGCGUGCGCAGGCGGUUUUGCAAGCCGGGUGUGAAAUCCCCGGGCUUAACCUGGGAAUGGCAUUUGGGACUGCAAGGCUGGAGUGCGGCAGAGGAGACUGGAAUUCCUGGUGUAGCAGUGAAAUGCGUAGAUAUCAGGAGGAACACCGAUGGCGAAGGCAGGUCUCUGGGCUGACACUGACGCUCAUGCACGAAAGCGUGGGGAGCAAACAGG